rnacentral:rRNA from 1 species
AGUGAACGCUGGCGGUAGGCCUAACACAUGCAAGUCGAACGGCAGCACAGUAAGAGCUUGCUCUUACGGGUGGCGAGUGGCGGACGGGUGAGGAAUACAUCGGAAUCUACUUUUUCGUGGGGGAUAACGUAGGGAAACUUACGCUAAUACCGCAUACGACCUACGGGUGAAAGCAGGGGAUCUUCGGACCUUGCGCGAUCGAGUGAGCCGAUGUCGGAUUAGCUAGUUGGCGGGGUAAAGGCCCACCAAGGCGACGAUCCGUAGCUGGUCUGAGAGGAUGAUCAGCCACACUGGAACUGAGACACGGUCCAGACUCCUACGGGAGGCAGCAGUGGGGAAUAUUGGACAAUGGGCGCAAGCCUGAUCCAGCCAUACCGCGUGGGUGAAGAAGGCCUUCGGGUUGUAAAGCCCUUUUGUUGGGAAAGAAAAGCAGCAGGUUAAUACCCCGCUGUUCUGACGGUACCCAAAGAAUAAGCACCGGCUAACUUCGUG